rnacentral:rRNA from 1 species
CACGGGGUUGCAAGCGUUGUCCGGAAUUACUAGGCGUAAAGGGCAGGCAGGCGGAUCCAUAAGUUUAUCGUUUAAGGCGUCGGCUUAACCGGCGUAGGGCGGUAGAUACUGUGGAUCUGGAAUGCGGUUGGGGAAGACGGAAUUCCUGGUGUAGCGGUGGAAUGCGCAGAGAUCAGGAGGAAUACCGAAGGCGAAGGCAGUCUUCCAAGCCGUUAUUGACGCUCAACUGCGAAGGUGUGGGUAUCAAACAGGAUUAGAUACCCUGGUAGUCCCUGAG